CAGUAGCCGCGGUAAUACGAAGGGGGCUAGCGUUGUUCGGAUUUACUGGGCGUAAAGGGCGCGUAGGCGGGCGAUUUGGUCAGGGGUGAAAUCCCAAGGCUCAACCUUGGAACUGCCUUUGAUACUGAUCGUCUUGAGUUCGAGAGAGGUAAGUGGAACUGCGAGUGCAGAGGUGAAAUUCGUAGAUAUUCGCAAGAACACCAGUGGCGAAGGCGGCUUACUGGCUCGAUACUGACGCUGAGGCGCGAAAGCGUGGGGAGCAAACAGGAUUAGAUACCCCUGUAGUCCCUGUCUCUUAUAC
rnacentral:rRNA from 1 species